AGACAGUAGCUGCUUUAAGACUGAAUUUCAUUUAUUCAGGAGCUCUUUUAUGUCACUGUGGUCAUCAGAGGAAAUUCAGAAGAAGUGUAUGUGCUGAAGUGUAUUGUGCCUGAAUUCUCUUUUCAGGCACCCAGAAAAUCCUGUAUGUCUGCUUGACCCUGAUGAGUUAAGAUAAUAUACAGACAGAUGUGAAAAUACUUGAAGAAAUCAGGUAUUUGUGAUUAAAACAGCAUUAAUCAAAGGGACGUAUCUAGGACUUCUUCAAAGAAAGCUAAUGUUGAAGUGUUCAUUUCUCUGUUUUGCUUUCCCCUGGCAAACACAAAGAAGUACUUGCAG